NNNNNNNNNNNNNNNNNNNNNNNNNNNNNNNNUGCUUCCUUCGAUUUACCCUUGGUUCGACACAUUUCCAAUACAGGGUACUCCCCUUCGGACUGUCCACAGCCCCCCAUGUCUUUUCCAAGCUCCUAGCUGUAGUCACUGCCUACCUCAGGAAACAAGGGGUCAUAGUAUUCCCUUACCUCGACGAUUGCCUCCUCAAAGCUUCAACAUUCGACGAGGCUCUCCGGUUCACACGGCUCACCGUCGAUUGUUUCCUAUCUCUCGGCCUACAAAUAAACAAAGACAAAUCCACAUUACGCCCCACCCAGCACCUGCAGUUCAUAGGAGCAGACCUCGACUCCCGGACGGGGUUGGCAUCUCUCCCACCCGAUCGCUUCAACUCCAUAAACCAACUGGCCACAAUCAUUCGCAACAGUCCCCAGGUGACUGCCCGAGACUGCCUACAACUACUAGGUCACAUGGCCUCGUGCACUUUUGUCGUCCAGAAUGCACGCCUCUACAUGAGGUGCUUCCAAGCGUGGCUGGCCACGGUUUACAAACCGAAUAUGCCCUCUUUAAACAAGACUCUCUCCCUACCUGCCCAAGUCAAAGAUUCGCUACACUGGUGGACCGUCCAUUCCAACCUCUGCUCUGGAGUCCCGUUUCUUCAGCAGGCUCCAUCACUCAUCCUGACCACCGAUGCAUCUCUGACAGGCUGGGGUGCACACAUGUCUCACCACACAGUACAGGGGCUAUGGUCAUCAACCGAGACCUCCCUGCACAUAAAUGUCCUAGAACUUCGAGCUAUUCGCAAUGCGUGCCGUCACUUCCUGCCACUAAUCAAGCAUCAUCAUGUACGCAUAAUGACAGACAACAUUGCAUGCAUGUUUUAUGUAAACAGGCAGGGAGGAGCUCGAUCCCAUUCGCUGGGCACAGAGGCUAUGAAGCUCUGGAAUUGGUGCAUUGCGAACAACAUCCGGGUAUCAGCUGCUUAUCUUCCCGGGAUCAUGAACACCACAGCGGACGAACUGAGCAGACGCUUCCCAUGGGACCACGAGUGGGAGAUAGACGAGAAAACCAUUCACAACGUAUUCAGCACUUGGGGUUACCCAACAAUAGACCUUUUUGCAACUACAAAAAACAAGAAAUGUCCCAAUUUGUGCUCCAGAGCAGGACUGGGCAAACAUUCCCUGGGGGACGCAUUCAUGAUCUCAUGGCACCGAAACCUCCUGUAUGCAUUUCCCCCGAUACCAGUUCUCAACAGGGUCCUGAUAAAAAUACGAACGGACCGAGCCAAGGUGAUCCUCAUUGCCCCGUCGUGGCCCAGACAGCCGUGGUUUCUGUUCCUCACCAGAAUGUCGAUUCAACCACCAAUCUCCCUGCCGCUCAUUCCAAACCUCCUAUCUCAACAACACGGCCGCUUUCUCCAUCCCAACCUGUCCAUGCUUCACCUCAAGGCCUGGUUCCUACAUGGUUUUCCCAAAGCGAAUUAGAUUGCUCUGAACAAGUUCAGAAGGUGCUCCUACAUAGCAGAACACAAUCUACUCGCACGACCUAUCUUCAAAAGUGGAAACGAUUCACACAUUGGUGUUCCGCUAAACACCUUUGUCCCACGUCGGUACCUCUUUCGCUUAUACUUGACUACCUAUUGGGCCUUAAGCAAUCCGGCCUUUCUUUCAGCUCCAUAAGGGUCCAUUUAGCUGCUAUUACAACUUUCCACGACAGAAUUGAUGACACAUCUGUCUUUGCUCAUUCUAUCACGAAGCGUUUCCUCAAGGGACUACAAACCUUAUACCCAGACAUUAAACCACCUACCACCCCUUGGGACCUUCACCUAGUACUGUCUUGCCUAACUCAACAACCAUUUGAACCCCUAGCCACGUGCUCCCUUUUACACCUCUCGAUGAAAACAGCAUUUCUAGUGGCAAUUACCUCUGCCAGACGGGCAGGAGAAAUAGCAGCUCUUAUGGCACACCCACCAUAUACGAUAUUUUUUAAAGACAAGGUUACCCUCAGAUUACACCCCAAAUUUCUUCCAAAGGUACAUUCGUCAUUCCACAUUAAUGAACCAAUACACCUACCGACUUUUUUUCCGAAACCACAUGCGAACUCGUUCGAAACCUCAAUGCAUACACUAGAUGUACGCAGAACCUUGUCAUUCUAUUUGGAUAGAACCAAACCUUUUAGAACUUCCUCUAGACUUUUUGUCUCCCUUGCGGAGCGCUCCAAAGGUAUGCCUAUUUCUACCCAGAGACUUUCGAACUGGAUUUCCCAGUGCAUCCGGUUGUGCUAUCAGAUGAAGAAGGUUACACCUCCAGACGGCAUUAGAACACACUCCACUAGAUCUAUGGCUGCCUCUCUAGCA
rnacentral:lncRNA from 1 species